CUCACAGGCGCCGGUCUGGGUUCAGAUCAGUUCCGUUCUCUGGUCUCCCAAGGCCCUUGGUUUAUGGGAUGCCUGCAGACGGAAGCUUUCCCCCCGUCAGCAGGUCUCCACUGAAUCAGCGGCAGGAGUCCUGGAUGAUCCCCCGAUCACGCGGCCCCUCCCCCGCUCCUUCCCGACCCCUCCCCCCCACCGCAGCAAUCGCAGACUCUAGGGGAGGGAGCGAUGUUCUCUCCUACCGUUCCAGCGCCUCCGAGGCUGAUGUAUUCCCUUGGGACAAGACCUGGUCCAGUACUAAGGCUACUCAACCAAAUGGAUUUUUUGGUUGGCUGAACUCGCAGACACUUAGACACAUCAACAGAAGAGCCACUGCUUUAUCCAACAAAGAAAGGGGGGCAUGAGGUAUCAAGGACCUUGCCCUGGAGUCACUAAGCUGCUCCUGGACUAGAUGAUGAUGAUAAAGAUGCUAAUGAUGAACCCCACAAACUGAAGUUCUGUAUCUAUCCUGAAGAAGAUACUUUCUGAAUAGUCUCUAACUUAUAUUUUUACAUACAAUAUUUUCACGUGCAUUUUCUGCUUCAUAUAAUCACUCGAAAAAAAUUUGUCCUUAAACCUAAGACUAGAACUUUAAGCAAUGUAACAAUACGAUUGACUUUCGG
rnacentral:lncRNA from 1 species